UUGGAGGGCAAGUCUGGUGCCAGCAGCCGCGGUAAUUCCAGCUCCAAUGGCGUAUAUUAAAGUUGUUGCAGUUAAAAAGCUCGUAGUUGAAUUUCGGGAUCAAUAUGUCGGUCGUGCCAUUGGUACGUACUGGUAUCAUUGAUUUCUCCUUUCUGACGAACCAUGAUGUCAUUAAUUUGGUGUUAUGGGGAGUUAGGACUGUUACUUUGAAAAAAUUAGAGUGUUUAAAGCAGGCAUUAGCUUGAAUACAUUAGCAUGGAAUAAUGAAAUAGGACGUUUGACCCUAUUUUGUUGGUUUCUAGGAUCGACGUAAUGAUUAAUAGGGAUAGUUGGGGGCAUUAGUAUUCAAUUGUCAGAGGUGAAAUUCUUGGAUUUAUUGAAGACUAACUACUGCGAAAGCAUUUGCCAAGGAUGUUUUCAUUAAUCAAGAACGAAAGUUAGGGGAUCGAAGACGAUCAGAUACCGUCGUAGUCUUAACCAUAAACUAUGCCGACUAGGGAUCGGAUGAUGUUAAUUUUUUAAUGACUCAUUCGGCGCCUUACGGGAAAC
rnacentral:rRNA from 1 species